rnacentral:lncRNA from 1 species
AGAGAGCUCAACUGUUAAAAGCACUUGCUGCUCUUCUAGCAACCACUUCAGGCAGCUCACAAUUAACUGCCUGUCACUCCAGCUCCAGAGGAGCUGACACCUCUGGCCAACACAGGCACCUGCCCUCCCAGGAACACACCCACAUGUGGACAGGUACACCUGCACACAGAGCAAGAACAUGCAUUCCAAGUCUGCAUGGAGCAUGUCCUUGGUCUGGGCUGCAGCCUGAAGCCUGCAUGGAGGACGUCUAUGGUCUGGGCUGCAGCCUGAAGCCUGCAUGGAGGACUCUAUGGUCUGGGCUGUAGCCUGAAGCAUGGAGCAUGCACAUGAUGAAGAUUAAGUCAGUAGACUUCUACAUGUGGACCAUUGCAGACUAUAUGGUUAGAUUACAUUUCUUCAAACAAGCCCAGGCUGUGCUCUUAUCUUCAUCUCAGCCAUCCACAACAUCAAUGUGAGGAGCAAGCAGGAUACAGAAUUCCUGGUAGAAACCAUCCCCGUGGCAGCCAGUGAAGUAAACUGUCGGC